UCUGUUUGAUCCUGGCUCAGAUUGAACGCUGGCGGCAGGCCUAACACAUGCAAGUCGAGCGGUAACAGGGGUAGCUUGCUACCCGCUGACGAGCGGCGGACGGGUGAGUAAUGCAUAGGAAUCUGCCCGAUAGUGGGGGAUAACCUGGGGAAACCCAGGCUAAUACCGCAUACGUCCUACGGGAGAAAGGGGGCUUCGGCUCCCGCUAUUGGAUGAGCCUAUGUCGGAUUAGCUAGUUGGUGAGGUAAUGGCUCACCAAGGCAACGAUCCGUAGCUGGUCUGAGAGGAUGAUCAGCCACAUCGGGACUGAGACACGGCCCGAACUCCUACGGGAGGCAGCAGUGGGGAAUAUUGGACAAUGGGGGCAACCCUGAUCCAGCCAUGCCGCGUGUGUGAAGAAGGCCCUCGGGUUGUAAAGCACUUUCAGCGAGGAAGAACGCCUAUCGGUUAAUACCCGGUAGGAAAGACAUCACUCGCAGAAGAAGCACCGGCUAACUCCGUGCCAGCAGCCGCGGUAAUACGGAGGGUGCAAGCGUUAAUCGGAAUUACUGGGCGUAAAGCGCGCGUAGGUGGCUUGAUAAGCCGGUUGUGAAAGCCCCGGGCUCAACCUGGGAACGGCAUCCGGAACUGUCAGGCUAGAGUGCAGGAGAGGAAGGUAGAAUUCCCGGUGUAGCGGUGAAAUGCGUAGAGAUCGGGAGGAAUACCAGUGGCGAAGGCGGCCUUCUGGACUGACACUGACACUGAGGUGCGAAAGCGUGGGUAGCAAACAGGAUUAGAUACCCUGGUAGUCCACGCCGUAAACGAUGUCUACUAGUCGUUGGGAAUCUUAGUAUUCUUGGUGACGAAGUUAACGCGAUAAGUAGACCGCCUGGGGAGUACGGCCGCAAGGUUAAAACUCAAAUGAAUUGACGGGGGCC
rnacentral:rRNA from 1 species